GUGGGUAUUCUAGAGCUAAUACAUGCUAAAAGCCCCGACUUCGGAAGGGGCGUAUUUAUCAGAAUCAGAACCAAUGCCCUUCGGGGCUCCCUGGUGGCUCAUGAUAACUCCACAGAUCGCAUGGCCUUGCGCCGGCGAUGGCUCAUUCAAAUUUCUUCCCUAUCAACUUUCGACGGUACGGUCUUGGCCUACCGUGGUUGCAACGGGUGACGGAGGGUUAGGGCUCGACCCCGGAGAGGGAGCCUGAGAAACGGCUACCACAUCCAAGGAAGGCAGCAGGCGCGCAAAUUAUCCAAUCCCGACUCGGGGAGAUAGUGACAAUAAAUACCAAUACAGGGCUCUUUUGGGCCCCGUAAUUGGAAUGAGUACAAUUUAAACCUCUUAACGAGGAACAAUUGGAGGGCAAGUCUGGUGGACGUUCCAGUCCUAUGCUGGCGCCAGCAAGAGCGGGAAGGUGCGUAGCGGCUCGUAACGGCGCGCCUUCCGUCCCGCUAGUCGAGCAUCCGUCCAUGGCGGGAGGAUGCCGGCGAGACAACCUGGAUCGGGGAAGGCUAAGGGGCUCUGCCCUAUGCUAAUCCCGAGCAGAGCUGCCGAGGAGUGAUCCCCGGUGAGCCUGUGUAGAGCGCGCAAAGGUGUCGGUCGCACUGCGAUUUUCGCAGGCGGCUUAAGGUACGUGCCGGCCCCCGUGAAAGCGGGUUUCUGUCUGAAGCGCCCGCCACGCGAAGGACAGAAAGCUUGUCGUGACGCUGUCUAACCACACAGUCACGGCACGCGGGAAACAUGCAACAGCAUCGUUGGUUAUUCACAGUCGGGAAACAAAAGAUCACAAUCACUAUAGAAGAGCCCAAUUGUAGGUCCCGGAAGAAAGCCCCAAAACGUAAAACUUUUUUUAUAAAGGUAAAACGUCAAAAGGCCCAAAAGCAACGCCCAAAGUCCCACAUGUCCUAAAAAAUAUGACACUACUCCCAGCCAUGUUCGUCCGCAAACACUCCCNNNNNNNNNNNNNNNNNNNNNNNNNNNNNNNNNNNNNNNNNNNNNNNNNNNNNNNNNNNNNNNNNNNNNNNNNNNNNNNNNNNNNNNNNNNNNNNNNNNNGCUGGCAAAGAGCGAGAGCGAGAGAGAGAGAGGAACAGAAGUGUGCGAGCCGAGAAGCCAUCGAGAGAGGGAGUACUCUUCUUAUAUAUCGAUGGCUCCCCAGCUCGCACACGCUUGCCAUCGUGGAAGGAAUCUGCGAUGGGAAGUGUCAGUCAUGUCUGGAACAGUAAACACGUCAUCGCAGCUUGGUUCUUACCUGGCCGAAGGCAGAUGUGUUGAUGUUGAGGAAAGAGAUGGGUGCGUGGUUGUGGGAAAGAUAUAGGGUCAGUGGGAAAUUUAAAGUUUGAGGCAUGUGACGGUGCGGCCCGUUCGGGAAGGAACGAGUGUGCUUCUGGUGCGGCCCUGCGAUUUGCAGGCGGCCUAAGUGCGCUCCUUCUCCCGAGUCCCGCAAUCUGAACAUUCCAUCUGGACGUACUUUCCCUGCUUUCCCGACAAGCUUUCCACCCGCACCUCUCGUUCCUGCCUCCAAAAUGACAAGGCUGGCUCCUUCCUGAUUCUCUUGACGCUCAGAGCUUGCCUUCCGAGAGAUGUGAUCUUGACUGUGUCAACGAUGUUGUGGUAUGAAACACGGCCAGCAGCCGCGGUAAUUCCAGCUCCAAUAGCGUAUAUUAAAGUUGUUGUGGUUAAAAAGCUCGUAGUCGAACCUCGAGCCCGGCCGGCCGGUCCGCCUCACCGCGUGCACUGGUCUGGCCGAGCUCUUCCCUCUGCGGAACCUCAUGUCCUUAACUGGGCGUGCUGGGGAGGCAGGACUUUUACUUUGAAAAAAUUAGAGUGCUCAAGGCAGGCCAAUGCUCGGAUACAUUAGCAUGGAAUAAUAGAAUAGGACGUUGGUUCUAUUUUGUUGGUUUCUAGGACCGCCGUAAUGAUCAAUAGGGACGGUCGGGGGCAUCAGUAUUCAGCCGCGAGAGGUGAAAUUCUUAGACCGGCUGAAGACUAACUACUGCGAAAGCAUUUGCCAAGGACGUUUUCGCUGAUCAGGAACGAAAGUUAGGGGAUCGAAGACGAUCAGAUACCGUCGUAGUCUUAACCAUAAACGGUGCCGACUUGGGAUCGGGCGCUGUUCUCUCUAGACGCGCUCGGCACCAUUCGAGAAAUCAAAGUGCGUGGGCUCCAGGGGGAGUAUGGCGGCAACGCUGAAACUUAAAGAAAUUGACGGAAGGGCACCACCAGGGGUGGAACCUGCGGCUUAAUUUGACUCAACACGGGGAAACUCACCAGGUCCGGACACAAUGAGGAUUGACAGAUUGAGAGCUCUUUCUUGAUUUUGUGGGUGGUGGUGCAUGGCCGUUCUUAGUUGGUGGGGUGACUUGUCUGCCUAAUCGCGAUAACGAACGAGACCUUGACUGCUAAAUAGCACGCGCCGCCUCGGCGGUGUCGCGGCUUCUUAGUGGGACUAUCGGCUCAAGCCGAUGGAAGUUCGAGGCAAUAACAGGUCUGUGAUGCCCUUAGAUGUCCUGGGCCGCACGCGCGUGACACUGACAGAGCCAGCGAGUUCUUCCCUUGGCCGGAAGGCCCGGGUAAUCUUGUGAAACUCCGUCGUGAUGGGGAUAGAGCAUUGCAAUUGUUGCUCUUCAACGAGGAAUCCCUAGUAAGCGCAAGUCAUCAGCUUGCGUUGAUUACGUCCCUGCCCUUUGUACACACCGCCCGUCGCUACUACCGAUUGAAUGGCUCAGUGAGGUUUUCGGACUGGCCCAGGAAGGCGGGAGACUGCUAUCCAGGGCCGGAAAGUUGCCCAAACUCGGUCAUUUAGAGGAAGUAAA
rnacentral:rRNA from 1 species